rnacentral:tRNA from 1 species
ACCUGGUUGGCUCAGUCCGGUGGAGCAUGUGACUCUGGAUCUCGGGUUUGUGAGUUCAAACCCCAUGCAGGGUG